GCCGGGCGUGGUGGCUCACGCCUGUAAUCCCAGCCCUUUGGGAGGCCGAGGCGGGUGGAUCACCUGAGGUCAGGAGUUCAAGACCAGCCUGGCCAACAUGGUGAAACCCUGUCUUUA
rnacentral:SRP_RNA from 1 species